rnacentral:SRP_RNA from 1 species
CCGUGCUAGACGGGGAACCGGCGGUGCCCUGUAGCUCGCAAUCCGCCAUAGCGAGGUUGAAUCCCCGCCCGAGGUUCGGUCUUUUUCGGUAUGUGUUUCGACCGGGAUGUUGAACGCCGGACCCCGCGCAAUGUUUAACUUGCGAACUCCGUCAGGUCCGGGAGGAAGCAGCGGUAAGCUUGAUUGGCAUGUGCCGCGGGUCUUCCGGCCGGAGUCUUGUGUCGAAAAAACGCCGGAGAGGUCCCUAUCGGAGGCGGGUGCACGG